rnacentral:rRNA from 1 species
AGGCCUUAGGGUUGUAAAGCUCUUUUACCCGGGACGAUAAUGACGGGACCGGAAGAAUAAGCCCCGGCUAACUCCGUGGCCAGCAGCCGCGGUAAUA